rnacentral:pre_miRNA from 1 species
AAACUACUCCCUCCGUUCCGAAUUACUUGUCUCAGAUUUGUCUAGAUACGGAUGUAUCUAGACUCAUUUUAGUGCUAGAUACAUCCGUAUCUAGACAAAUCCAAGACAAGUAAUUUGGAACGGAGGGAGUAGUAG